ensembl:ncRNA lncRNA:Hsromega Heat shock RNA omega
UCACUCUCAAAUGAAAAGUGUUCAAGUGCAUUCAAAGUGAAGCUGAAAAAAUAACCAGUUAAAAAUAGUACAAAGAAAUUUUCUUUCUUGCAAUUUGCAAGCAGUAGCUACAACCAAAAAUGGAAAAGUGUAAAAAUCGUGUCCCAGCAGACGAGCAGCAGCAGUACGAGUAUUGCAAAAUGCAGGGGCAAGGGCCCACGUAGUAUUUUUCCACGUCGGGCAUUUAAUGCUCUCGAGUUGGAAACAAUGAAACCAUACGCAAACCCCCUGGAAAAGAUGUGAUUAGUCAUCGAUUUUGCUGGUCAGCGUCGGGGAAUUUCGCAAUGCAGCAGGCAGUUUUCUCAAAUUUGGCUAGAAAGUGACCCACUAGGCAGUCUGAGGCAGUUAUCCAGGAUGUAAGGAUGUGUGCAGUACUCUCUGUGUCGAAUGGCGAUGGCCCUGACCUGCGGAUUUUGAAAGAUUGAAAUAGGAAGCCAGGUAUACAUACACAGCAACGAAUGCAGCGUGUUCUAUAUUCUUAAUUCGUAAGCCAAACCUAUGUUUAAGACGUAGUUUAUAUAACCGUACAUAUGUAUGUAGCGAAACACGUUUUCAAACGUCGCAUCGAAGCCAUUUCUUCUGCAGCCAUUGCAAUUUCAUCGUGUUGCGUAAUCGCAAAUUGUAAAUGUGUCCCUACUACUUCACAUUUGUGUGUAUCCAAGUCGAAAGUUCUCGAACUAUUCUCGUGAGCAACCCCCGGAUCGAAAGGCCACCAACUGGCUCGUUCUCUCUCUCCAGAAACAGCUUACUCUUACGUUUACAAUUGACUCUCUACCUAUCGGGUAUACACAUUUUUAUAUAUGUAUACACUCAGAGACACCCCAAUCCCCCACCAUACAUAUGGCGAGAUGUGUGAAUGUAUCGCAGUUGGACGAAAACGGCAGCUGCGCAGAAAACGCUGCGGCGUACAUACAAACGAGCUCUUUGUUUGCCUUUCCCCAGUUUUGCUUCCCCAUACGUAUAACUGGUGUUUAUCAGCGGUAAUCUCGCCAGCCUGACUUUGUCCCUGUCGCUUCUAUUGACAUUCUAAACUAGAUUGUAGACGUUUUAACAUUUACCUAGCUGUUAAUCUUAUUUGUAAACAUCUCUAUAUGCAACCUGCCAUACCACUUAACCAAGCAAUAUGUAUUUCUUUCUCUAAACUUUAUAGUUGGGCGUUGAAAGUUGAUAUCGAUAUCGAUCCGUGAAAAGUCGAUACCCUGCGCAAGCAUGGGGCGGCAUAUGGGUGCUGAAAACGCACUCGGCCCGAUCCCGAUUGCAGCGUUAUUCGAAAGCUGUGUCUGCGACCGUGACUGAGAUCAUAUGCGUACAUAUAUCUAAUGUCCGGGGUCGUAGGCCAGCCAGGGUGCUCGAUUCUGUCAGAUUGAUUGUGCGGAUUGUGUUAUAGGAACACUGGUGUAUCGACUUCUCUGCUCCACUAUGGGUGAAGGAUACCCUACCGAAAAGGCCUUCUGUCGCUUACUAUCAUCGAACAAGUUCCGUAAAGGGCAGACAUACGUACACGUGGCAGCAUAUUACGUUCAAUGACACAUCGUCUCUGGAUUAGUAGUUGAACCAACGAGCUCGAAUAUACCCUGCCAGUUGGUUGUAAAUAUUAAUUUUGUUCUUAUAUUCAGUUGUAAAGUCAAUACGGAAGACAUUUCCACACCAACCAUGUGUCACUUAUGUUCUUAAAUACCAGAAACUGUUUAAAUUUUUGUUCUUAUACACUUCACCAAUUAAGAAUUACCUGUACUGAUGUAAGUGUACCUGUUGAAUCACAACAAAAAUAGAAAAAAUGAAUAACAAAAGAGCUCUAUAACAGAAAAGCCACAGAAAAAGUGAAUAAAAAUUCAAAAAUUCAAAAAAUAAAUUUCGAAACAUUUGCUCGUGAUAUUUUUAUUUCAAGAAAAGAUCCGAUUUCAGUUAUACCAUCUAGCUUAAAUUUAGCGUUACGAGAAUAGUCCCUCGGAGGAAAGGCCCUUUAUCAAGAUGCCAAUAUCGUUCGUCCUAUACACAAAUUACUCACGUUAUGAAACCAAGUCGAAAAAUCGGACAAAGUGUCUACAAUUGAGGAAAGGUCUAUUGAUCUCCUGUGAGCGCAAAAAGUUUGUAUUCGAACGAGAAUUUUAAGGUUUAAAAUCAGCUGAAAAGUACGUAUAUUCCGCAUUUAUUUUUCUCCACAUUUUUAGGAUCAGAACAUCAGAACUAUAUUUUUUUGGAAAAAUCAACGGAUAUUAUUUUGUUUGGAGGUCCCAAAUUCUAUACACCUUCACACAUAUUUUUGCAUACAAAAAAACCUAAAAAUAAUAUUAUUGAAUGGCAAAAAAAACCAUUUAUAACAUGAAAAUUACUCGAAGUACUUCAAUUUAAUUACCGAACCAAAAUAUAUACACGUACGACUCGUGUUGGACGAGAUUACAUUAAGAGAACUUUGAAAAAUAAUAAAAAAAGGUUUGAAAUUGAAAACUGUAAAGUAUAAUAUUCGUAAUAAGGAAUUUAUAAAGAUAAAUAACCACAACAAAAUGAACCACAAUAAUAUGAAACCAUGAACAAUAGGUAUGAUUUAUGUCGAUUAGCCUCUUGGUAAAAUAAACUUAAAAUCCAUAUAGGUGUGUGUUAUAAAACUGCCCCAAUUCAAAAUUGCGUCUCGUAAUAAACCAAAAGUACAUCGUACAACUGCAACAUGACCCGCAAUUAUUUGAACUCUUUAACAAUAGGUUUCAUUUACUCCGAUUACCCCAAUCACAAUCUUUCG